AGUUUGAUCAUGGCUCAGGAUGAACGCUGGCGGCGUGCCUAAUACAUGCAAGUCGAACGAGGUGCUUUUGUAGCAAUACGAAAGUAUCCUAGUGGCGAACGGGUGAGUAACGCGUUGGUGACCUACCCCAAAGUGUGGGAUAACAGUUCGAAAGAACUGCUAAUACCGCAUGUGGUUAUCGGAUUUAGAAACUGAUAACUAAAGGAGCAAUUCGCUUUGGGAGGGACCUGCGUCCCAUCAGCUAGUUGGUGAGGUAAUGGCUCACCAAGGCUACGACGGGUAGGGGACCUGAGAGGGUGACCCCCCACAAUGGAACUGAAACACGGUCCAUACACCUACGGGUGGCAGCAGUAGGGAAUAUUGCACAAUGGGCGAAAGCCUGAUGCAGCAACGCCGCGUGUGCGAUGAAGGCCCUCGGGUCGUAAAGCACUUUUCUGAGAGAUGAGCAAGGACAGUAUCUCAGGAAUAAGUCUCGGCUAACUACGUG
rnacentral:rRNA from 1 species